rnacentral:rRNA from 1 species
AGUGAACGCUGGCGGUAGGCCUAACACAUGCAAGUCGAACGGCAGCACAGUAAGAGCUUGCUCUUACGGGUGGCGAGUGGCGGACGGGUGAGGAAUACAUCGGAAUCUACUUUUUCGUGGGGGAUAACGUAGGGAAACUUACGCUAAUACCGCAUACGACCUACGGGUGAAAGCAGGGGAUCUUCGGACCUUGCGCGAUUGAAUGAGCCGAUGUCGGAUUAGCUAGUUGGCGGGGUAAAGGCCCACCAAGGCGACGAUCCGUAGCUGGUCUGAGAGGAUGGUCAGCCACACUGGAACUGAGACACGGUCCAGACUCCUACGGGAGGCAGCAGUGGGGAAUAUUGGACAAUGGGCGCAAGCCUGAUCCAGUCAUACCGCGUGGGUGAAGAAGGCCUUCGGGUUGUAAAGCCCUUUUGUUGGGAAAGAAAAGCAGCAGGUUAAUACCACGCUGUUCUGACGGUACCCAAAGAAUAAGCACCGGCUAACUUCGUG